UGCCUGACUGGCCUUUUUGCUGAAUAUUUGCUUAGCGAUGGGUGGAAAGGAGAAAGUUGCGGCAUACUUUUUAUUCUCGUCUUCUCUGCAGGCGUUCGACAGCGUGAAGGAAGGGUGGAGGGUGCCUUCUUUCUUUAUUUUUUUUCCUCCUCUCUUCUUCUUUUCCCUCCUUUCUACUGAAUUAUUCAUAGUGUCAGUGGUGAAGCCAGGACUAUUAGCAUGCAUCAGACAUGCUGUUUGUCUGUUUGCUAACAUUCUUCAUUCAAGACUUGUUAACUACCAGACAAGCUUAACACGCUUCUUUUUUUCCCCUCCCCUCCUCUCUUCCUCCGUCUCUCUCUCUCUCUCUUCGCCUUCCCUCCCUCCUUCCCUCCCUCCCCUCGCCCCUUCCCUUCCUUUCCCUUCCUUUCCUUUCCCUUCCCUUCCCUCGCAGCCGCCCAUUGUUGCCGCCGGGCGCUGGCAGCCGGGGGCAGUUGCGGCCGGAGCGGGCGGAGGAGCGGCCGCCGGUUGCUAGGAGGCUGCAGAGCUGCAAGGUGAACACCAGCACCACCAGCACAUCGGCGGCUCCCCGGGGCUGGCUCCCCACCCUGCACAGGUGUAUCUCUCAGCCUGGAUGUAGUCUCCCUGUAAGGAGUGUGAAAGUUACAUGAGAAGAAUUACAGUUUAACACUGAAAAAGCUCUUCCUCAUCUGAACUGUCAUUCAAAACGCAGAAUGAAAGGAGACAAAUAGGUUUUCUAUCAUGCUGUCUGCAGGACUCCUGGAAGAUUUUUCUGAAACUUGAGUGUAUCUGUCUCAGGCUGCCUCUAAAGAGAUGAAGCAUGAAACUCCAAAAGGAACUCAGAAUACAAAGAGAAGACAUUUGAGAGUAAUCUGCAAGGUGUUCAGGAUGCUUGCACUAAUUAAAACCAGCAGACAUUAUUAUCUCCAUGAUUGGAAUUUGCAGCUCAGUGAUGUAAUGUUUACUGCACUGAAGAGCUCUGGUACAACCUUUGAAAAGUCUUGAGGGAUCAUUCCUAGAUUCAUUCUCAACAUGCAAACUGGAGUCUGCUUACUGUUGUCUGUUCCAGAUAAGAUGUCAAAGCAAGCAAAGGAGACUUAGAAGUAGUGUGUGACUCAGGAAAGAAGUAUUUGAAAGAAUGACAUAGUGGGGAAUCAAGCUGGAAGAUGAAAUAAGUGAAGAGUGGUCAUCUAUGCAGAGGAAAUGACAAGGUUUCAUCUCCCCUGGACACUGGCCUCACCUGAUUUCUGAGCAUUAGGAUCUGGUAAUCGCCAUUUUUGCCCUGGAGAGCUCAGGAACACAGCCCUGCAGGGGUCCCUUGUGCUGCUGCUGCUGCUCUUGCAGCCAUCCAUGUCACACCUCGCAGUCACCUUAGACCUGGACAGAAAGCACAUUGGGGUGAACAGAACACGACUGGGAAGUCCCCAUAUCAGUUAUGCUGAAAGCAGUAGCAGAUUACUUCAGUUACCCUGAAAUGUGACCUACAACCUUUGGGGUGAGAUCUGCUUUAUAGUGAAACAUCACUUUAAUUUAUCUGUGGCUUAUGUAUGUAUCAUUUAGCAAUUUCUUUAGCUGUUAACAAAAAGUAAGUUAGCUGAUUAAGUUAGGGUGUUUGCUUUCAAAGUUCACUUAUUUAUUAAAGCAAUAUUUAUAUUACAG